AUACGGAGGAUCCGAGCGUUAUCCGGAUUUAUUGGGUUUAAAGGGUGCGCAGGCGGCCCUUUAAGUCAGCGGUUAAAUCGUGGGGCUCAACCCCAUUCUGCCGUUGAUACUGGGUGGCUUGAUUGCGGUCGAGGUUGGCGGAAUUCGUUGUGUAGCGGUGAAAUGCAUAGAUAUGACGAAGAACACCGAUUGCGUAGGCAGCUGACCAGACCGCAAAUGACGCUCAUGCACGAAAGUGCGGGGAUCGAACAGGAUUAGAUACCCUGGUAGUCCGCACAGUAAACGAUGAAUACUUGUUUUCGGCGAUAUAAUGUCGGAGGCAAAGCGAAAGCGAUAAGUAUUCCACCUGGGGAGUACGCCGGCAACGGUGAAACUCAAAGGAAUUGACGGGG
rnacentral:rRNA from 1 species